AGUAUCGCGUAGGGAUUUGUCGUUGGUGGGGGGAUAACCGCGGGAAACUGCGGCUAAUACCGCAUGACGCCUGUGGGCCAAAGGUGUGCAAGCACUGCCUGACGAGGAGCCUGCGUCCGAUUAGCUAGUUGGUUGGGUAAUGGCUGACCAAGGCUGUGAUCGGUAGCUGGUCUGAGAGGAUGAUCAGCCACACUGGGACUGAGACACGGCCCCG
rnacentral:rRNA from 1 species